rnacentral:rRNA from 1 species
AGAGCACUGAAUGGGCUAGGGGCUGACAACAGUUACUGAACCCUAUCAAACUCCGAAUGCCAUAUACUUGUACCCCGGCAGUCAGACUACGAAUGAUAAGAUCCGUGGUCAAAAGGGAAACAGCCCAGACCAUCAGCUAAGGUCCCAAAGUGUAAGUUAAGUGGGAAAGGAUGUGGGAUUUCUAAGACAACUAGGAUGUUGGCUUAGAAGCAGCCACUCAUUUAAAGAGUGCGUAAUAGCUCACUAGUCGAGAGAUCCUGCGCCGAAGAUGUAACGGGGCUCAAACUUACCACCGAAGCUAUGGAUGUGUACUUUGUACACGUGGUAGAGGAGCUUUCUGUACAGGUUGAAGUCAUACCGUAAGGAGUGGUGGACAGUACAGAAGUGAGAAUGCUGGCAUAAGUAGCGAAAAACAAGUGAGAAUCUUGUUGACCGAAUAUCUAAGGUUUCCUGGGGAAGGCUCGUCCUCCCAGGGUUAGUCGGGACCUAAGCCGAGGCCGAAAGGCGUAGGUGAUGGACAACUGGUUGAUAUUCCAGUACCACCAUAAUGCGUUUGACAAAUGGGAUGACGCAGGAGGAUAGGAUGUGCGCACUAUUGGAUGUGCGUCUAAGCACUUAGGGUGUUAAGUAGGCAAAUCCGCUUAACAUUAAGCCUGAGGUGUGAUGGGGAGCCUAUUUUGGCGAAGUAUCUGAUUCCACGCUGCCAAGAAAAGUCUCUAUGGAGCAAAAUGGUGCCCGUACCGCAAACCGACACAGGUAGAUGAGGAGAGAAUCCUAAGGUCGUCGGAAGAAUUAUUGCUAAGGAACUCGGCAAAUUGACCCCGUAACUUAGGGAGAAGGGGUGCCUACGAGAGUAGGCCGCAGUGAAUAGGCUCAAGCAACUGUUUAUCAAAAACACAGGUCUCUGCUAAAGCGUAAGCUGAUGUAUAGGGGCUGACGCCUGCCCGGUGCUGGAAGGUUAAGGGGAAUAGUUAGCGCAAGCGAAGCUAUGAACUUAAGCCCCAGUAAACGGCGGCCGUAACUAUAACGGUCCUAAGGUAGCGAAAUUCCUUGUCGGGUAAGUUCCGACCCGCACGAAUGGCGUAAUGAUUUGAGCACUGUCUCGGCAAUAAAUCCGGUGAAAUUGUAGUGCAAGUGAAGAUGCUUGCUACCCGCGGUUGGACGGAAAGACCCCGUAGAGCUUUACUGUAGCUUAGCAUUGAAUUUCGGUAUUGUCUGUACAGGAUAGGUGGGAGACUUAGAAGCGAGGGCGUCAGCUUUCGUGGAGUCGUCCUUGGGAUACCACCCUGACAGUACUGGAAUUCUAACUGGAGGCCAUGAAUCUGGUCACAGGACAUUGCUAGGUGGGCAGUUUGACUGGGGCGGUCGCCUCCUAAAAGG